rnacentral:rRNA from 1 species
UCGAGAAUCUUCGGCAAUGGGCGCAAGCCUGACCGAGCGACGCCGCGUGUGGGAUGAAGGCCUUCGGGUUGUAAACCACUGUCAGAGGGGAUGAAAUGCAGGUGGGUUCUCCCAUCUGUUUGACAUAGCCUCAGAGGAAGGACGGGCUAAGUUCGUGCCAGCAGCCGCGGUAAGACGAACCGUCCAAACGUUAUUCGGAAUUACUGGGCUUAAAGGGUGCGUAGGCGGCGCGGAAAGUUGGGUGUGAAAUCCCUCGGCUCAACCGAGGAACUGCGCCCAAUACUACCGUGCUUGAGGGAGAUAGAGGUGAGCGGAACUUAGGGUGGAGCGGUGAAAUGCGUUGAUAUCCUAAGGAACACCGGUGGCGAAAGCGGCUCACUGGAUCUCUUCUGACGCUGAGGCACGAAAGCUAGGGUAGCGAACGGGAUUAGAUACCCCCGUAGUCCCUGAGCGGGCUGGCAAGGCGCAU